GCGGGGAGCGCAAGGGGCUGCAGGGGUGCGCGCUGGGGCGGCCGUGGGGAGGGGAGCGGCGCGGCGCGGCGUGGGAGAGCAGGGGUAAGACGGACAGGAAGGGAGCGAAGGGGAAAGGCAGGUGGAAAAGGGAAAUGACCGCGGGGGCCAGGAAGGCUAAAGAGAAUACAAGGGAAGCUGCGAAGCCAUCUGGGAAUCUGCUUUAGCCACGUGUAAAUCGCAGGCGUCCUUGCGGCUUCCCGCUCUGCGCAGAGCGGAGCAGCAGCGCCCGGAGGAGGCCGGGCAGAGCCGGGAUGGCGGCGUGCGGCUGCGUGCGGAUCACCUCCAAAAGUAACCUCUGAAGCAGCAGAUUAGGUGAAGUCGGACAUAAAAGCAGAUGUUACAGGGGUGUGUGACCUCAGGGAUGCACUGCCUCAUGCUGAGGGGAGUCCUUAACCUCUCAUGCAAGAAGAGAGAAGCAGUGUGCUUCCUUCUUCUGGUGGCAGCUUGCCAAGCCCCUUUCAGCUGGCCUGAGGUUCAGUAACGUGCAGGUGGAAGAGCCCUUGCGAGGUUAGUUGUAAGUGACUUGAGGAGGAGCAGGAGCAGUAGCAUGCAGCCAGGCACACACAUGCAAAACCCAUAAACCUCGCCUUCUGUUACAGGAGAUGAGCUGUGUGUUUCUCAGCAUGGUG